AUUUAAAUCGAUAGUUUUUGGAGGGUACUAUGCAGCUUUUUUGUUUGCCGGUGGAAUGGAGGCUAUUUUUUCAUUUUUUGCCGUUUUUAUUUUCCCAGCCGCAUCGAACUCCAGCAAAAACAGAAAACAAUCUAGUAAUUGCGGCGACUACUUGAAGUUCCUGGGAUCUUUUCCUGCAGUGAGUGCUAUUAUACCCUCGAUUGUUGUUUUUUUUUAUAUCGGGCUUUCGGGAUGCUGCUUUCUCGCUACAUUUUCACGAUGCAAUCGGAAUUCAAUUAGACCACAUGGGUUUUGUGUUCAUAGCAACACCGAUUGCGACAGGAUUUACAGGUGCUGUUGGCGGAAUUAUAGUGGACCAAGGAUAUGGAAUUUUCCUUAACAUAUUCUCGGAAGUCUUGAUACCGAUUACGACAUUCGCUAUGUUCUUGCCAUAUUUUGUACCUGAACUGGAAACUACGGGUUGGGCGAUGAUUUCACUAGCAGUGAGUGGAAUGUCACUUGCUGGAAUUAUAAACCCUUUCCACCUGAUUAUUCAAAAGAUAGCUCUUAAACGUGGAGCUACAAGCAUCGACCAGGUGCGAACGGAUGCAUCGUUUAGUUUUAUCAUCAUGAUGUCUUCGGGGCGCAUUUUGGGAGCCACCGUUUUUGGAGGAUUUCUGAACGAAAGUUUAGGAUUUUAUUUCACCAGCCUGAUUUACAGCAUUAUUGCAAUCAUUACAACAUCAUGGCAUGUUCUAUUUUUGUUCCAAAAUGGCUUAUUAGGGCGAAUAUAUUACCCCACGAGCCUUUAGAGAAUGAAGAAAGGCUGUAACAAUUUGAAUAAUUUCAUUUUAUAAUUUUGCUAACACUCGUUUUUAGUUUCAAAAAAUACAAAAAUUAUACCAUUAA